UUCUUCGAGGCGGGGUGUAAGUCCCCACCGGCGGUUAAAGUCCGCAACUGCCGCAACCGCGGCACUGAACCGGUGAAAUUCCGGUACCGACGGUAUAGUCCGGAUGGCAGAAGAC
rnacentral:ncRNA from 1 species